UUAUCCUAGGAGAGCAUUCUCACGCAUGGGAAGGGCUUUUCCACGGCUUGGAGGAACUUUUGAAGAAUGAAAACCCCUAAUUUCUUUAUUUGAUCAAAAUUCCUCUAAUUUCCUCUUUUAACUCCAACUCCUUUUCCUUUUUCUUUAAGGCUUCCUUUUUGAAAUCAAAUUGAAAGAGAGAGAUGUUUUGACGUUCCAUAAUGUUUGGAAACCGGUCCACCUCCUUCCAUGAAUUCUCUUUCCAUUAGAAUUUCAUAUCUUGGUCGUGGCAUGCAUACGCGUACACAUGUGUAGUUGGAUUUCAUGAGAAACUUUCCUUUUCUUCUUGUAUAUAAGAGCAACUUCAUUCAUAUUAUUUAUUUUUAUUUUUAUUAAAACUGACUUUCCAUCAUGUAUUCAAACACGCUCAAAGUUAUGAUUUCCAGCGAUGUUAAUGGUAGCAUCGAUUCCGCCCCUUCUCGCUGGAGUUUGAUGAAACCCGCAAAUUUUGUUAUCUCAGGAAUAAAACACAAAUAUUCAGAGGGGGUAAGUGAUUUUGAACACAUGUUAGAGUCCCCGGAUAGGUGAACCAAAACUCCUUCUUUCCGGACUAUCAUGGAAGAAAGAUACGAUGAACUCCAGGUUGCUAAUGCAAAUGAGAGAAUUGAAAUUGGUAGUGGAGUAGGAGUUACCAUGAAUUUGAGUCAGAUCAUAGAGCGUAACUCUCAUUCUUCGGAGUACUCAGAUUCUAACAUGGAAGCUCCAAUUUCUUUUUCACUCACGACUGGUCCCGCCAAGUUGUCUGGUGAUAGUUUGAACGGUGGUCUUCACCUCAUCCCAAGCAUAAAAACUAUUUACCCUGAUCAGAAAGUUAUAGGUGGAUUUAGUGUUCCUAGUCGCCAUGCCUUGGUGUGUUCUGAAAUAUAGGUGAAAUUCGGCCACAUCGCUACAACUGAGGUUUUGAAACACAACUCUCUUUCUGUUACGUUCGUGGACGAUUUUUUUUUUUAUUGUGGAAGAGAUGCAUUCAAAAUCCUUCAAUGAAAUUACCAAAGAGUUUAUAUCCAGCUGGGAAAAUAUUAUCUCUUCUUACGAAGGCGUUCGCUUCAACAUAGGAUGGUUGCGCUCGGAGCUUGAGUCCAUUCAAAAUGAAUAUGCAUCUCUUCGAGAGUUACCCAAUUUUUCUUAUCCUAUCUUAGUAUCGGAGGAACAACAACUAGUCGAGGAAGGGUUGUCUAUUGGACUCAUGAAGAGAAUUUUAACAAUAAAGUUUCGACUUAUUUGCACAAGGUUGGGACAUGGGAACGCGGGGAGAAGAAAGUGUUGAGAGGUUUCCUCUAAAGGGUUUCUUUUUUCUUUCGAAUGAUCUCAAUUCCUUAGGUUGAAUAGGUUUUGAUUUGAAAUAACACUACUUAUAACUUCCAUGUUUA